CCUGGCCCUAGAAGCCCUGCAUGUGUGGCUGCUGUGUCACCUGUGUGUCAGUAGGUGGCACUGUUCUGACCUGUGACUGUCUGAAUAAUUAGUAGCCUAACAUU
ensembl:snoRNA